GCCUACGUGGUGUAGUGGUCAGCACGCUGGGCGCGUAUUCCAGAGGUCCGUGGUUCGAGUCCCGGCGAAGGCG
rnacentral:tRNA from 1 species